UUCUUUACCUUUUGGUGAACCUCCCCAGUCUUCUGACCCCAGGAUAUUCCCAGGAAGUGCACCCAGCCGUGUGCUCCUGGCAGUGGCUGACUGUGCUCUGCCACUGAAACUUGAAGAGGAGCAGUGUGUGCUCAGGACUCCAGGGCUGGCCCCCUCCGGAGCAAACCAGGCUCAGAUUUUCAUAGGUUAACAAGCUCUGAUUUCUCCCGGGGUCAGAGAUAAAACUCAGAACGGCUUGACUUCAUUAAAAACGAGAGCAUUCAGUCAAUUUCUCAUCCUCUGCCUGGAAAAGCAAGAAGGACCCCAAACAACAUAAACAGCAAAGAGAAAAUCAGCAACAAGUUCACUUCGUAGAAUACAGUUCUUUGAGUCUGUUACUCUUGGGGUCAAUAUGAGUAUGUAGAGUUCACGUGAGAAACCAUAACCGGGAUUAAAGGAAUGAGUCAGAGGAAGGAAAAAGUCAAAACAGGAUCAAGAUACCUCUGCACUGGCUUGAAGCAGCUAUAUUAAAGGGACUAUGUUUACUCCAAUAAAAACUGCACGUGGCAAAAAUAUCUUGAGUGAAGAGGGUAAAUGGAGCAUUUAAAAACAAAAUACUAAUUAAAAAUACCCAUUGAGCAAUCAAUCAUUUCAUAAUGUGCUCAUGUAUGCAUGUGGUCACAUCCAGGCACUUCCAGUUCUGAAAGCCAACGUCACUGAGGAUGUCUGAAAUUAAGGAUACUUGAGUUGCCACUACAUCCUAUUGCUCUUCAUUCCUCUGCUAGCAGGGACAUUGGCUGUUCUUUGUCAAGCUGUGCCAAGCAUUUCUCUCAAAAUAAGCAGUUGUAUGCUGCCUGAGAAGCUGAAACCAAUUAUUAAAGAUUACUCAUUUCUAUAAA